rnacentral:rRNA from 1 species
UAUUGCACAAUGGGCGCAAGCCUGAUGCAGCCAUGCCGCGUGUAUGAAGAAGGCCUUCGGGUUGUAAAGUACUUUCAGUUGUGAGGAAGGGGGUAGUGUUAAUAGCGCUAUCUCUUGACGUUAGCAACAGAAGAAGCACCGGCUAACUCCGUGCCAGCAGCCGCGGUAAUACGGAGGGUGCGAGCGUUAAUCGGAAUUAUUGGGCGUAAAGGGCAAGUAGGUGGUCUCAUUUGUCUGGGGUGAAAGCCUUGAGCUUAACUCAAGAAGUGCCUCAGAAACGGUGAGACUCGAGUUCUGGAGAGGGUCGUGGAAUUCCCGGUGUAGCGGUGAAAUGCGUAGAGAUCGGGAGGAACACCUGAGGCGAAGGCGGCGACCUGACAGAUACUACACUCAACUGCGAAA